rnacentral:rRNA from 1 species
GACGAACGCUGGCGGCGUGCCUAAUACAUGCAAGUCGAAAGCAGUGGGGACGGGUGAGUAACACGGGGGUAACCUCCCAUCAGAGGGGAUAACACUUGGAAACAGGUGCUAAACCGAUCCUGAUGGAUGGACCCGCGGUGCAUUAGCUCGUUGGUGAGGUAACGGCUCACCAAGGCAACGAUGCAUAGCCUACCGUAGAGGGUGGUCGGCCACACUGGGACUGAGACUCGGCCCAGACUCCUACGGCAGGCAGCAGUAGGGAAUCUUCGGCAAUGGACGAAAGUCUGACCGAGCAACGCCGCGUGAGUGAAGAAGUUUUUCGGAUCGUAAAACUCUGUUGUUAGAGAAGCGGUAUCUAACCAGAAAGCCACGGCUAACUACGUGCCAGCAGCCGCGGUAAUUC